GGGCCCGCACAAGCAGCGGAGCAUGUGGUUUAAUUCGAAGCAACGCGAAGAACCUUACCAGGCCUUGACAUCCCGCGGAUGCGCCGGAGACGGCGCAGACCCUUCGGGGGCGCGGAGACAGGUGGUGCAUGGUUGUCGUCAGCUCGUGUCGUGAGAUGUUGGGUCAAGUCCCGCAACGAGCGCAACCCCUGUGCGCGGUUGCCAUCGGGUAAUGCCGGGCACUCCGCGCAGACCGCCCGCGAAAGCGGGAGGAAGGUGGGGACGACGUCAAAUCAUCAUGCCCCUCACGGCCUGGGCCACACACGUGCUACAAUGGCCUGUACAGAGGGAAGCCAAGCGGCGACGCGGAGCCAAUCCCAACAAAGCAGGCCCCAGUUCGGAUUGCAGGCUGCAACCCGCCUGCAUGAAGCCGGAGUUGCUAGUAAUCGCGGAUCAGCACGCCG
rnacentral:rRNA from 1 species